rnacentral:rRNA from 1 species
CAUUACAGAAGAGGGGGAUGUGUGGAGGGGGUAGACUGCUGGAUCAGUAGGGAGACUGCUGUAUCAGUAGGAAGCCGACACCCAUACAUCCUCAACAUUGACUCGGGCUGGGGCUGGUUGGAGUAGGUGGGUGUACUUGUACACGCAAUGUGCAUGCACACGCGAUGUACUUGUACGCGCACCCCUCCAAUCUCGACCCGCCCAGAGACAUUCACGCGUGUUGUGUGUGACUGUGUAAUAAAUCGUAUAUAUACAUGACAACUUUUAACAAUGGAUCUCUUGGCUCUUGCAACGAUGAAGAACGCAGUAAAGUGCGAUAUGUAGUGCGAUUUGCAUGAAUCUGUGAGUCAUCGAGUUUUUGAACGCAACUUGCGCCUCUGGGGCAACUCUGAGGCAUGUCUGCUUGAGGACCGAAACAAAAGAAAUUGUCCCUGGAGAGGGACAGAGGUGAGGCGACACUAAGGUGGGCCUUGGAAUGGAGGAUGAGCGUGGUGGGGUGCUCUGGCAUGUGGUGGAGCCAGCAGGCUUUAUCAUGGCAGAGGAUCACACGCGAUGUUUAGGAUAUCUUUGCGGUCUCAAGUCAGGCAAGACUACCCGCUGAACUUAA